AUUGAACGCUGGCGGCAUGCUUUACACAUGCAAGUCGAACGGUAACAGGCCUUCGGGUGCUGACGAGUGGCGAACGGGUGAGUAAUGCAUCGGAACGUACCCAGAGGUGGGGGAUAACGCAGCGAAAGCUGUGCUAAUACCGCAUGUGAUCUGAGGAUGAAAGCGGGGGACCGAGCAGCAAUGUUUGGCCUCGCGCCUUUGGAGCGGCCGAUGUCGGAUUAGCUAGUUGGUGGGGUAAAGGCCUACCAAGGCGACGAUCCGUAGCUGGUCUGAGAGGACGACCAGCCACACUGGGACUGAGACACGGCCCAGACUCCUACGGGAGGCAGCAGUGGGGAAUUUUGGACAAUGGGCGCAAGCCUGAUCCAGCAAUGCCGCGUGCGGGAAGUAGGCCUUCGGGUUGUAAACCGCUUUUGGCAGGAAUGAAACGGUGUCCGCUAAUACCGGGCGCUAAUGACGGUACCUGCAGAAUAAGCACCGGCUAACUACGUG
rnacentral:rRNA from 1 species